rnacentral:rRNA from 1 species
CCUUUGUACACACCGCCCGUCGCUACUACCGAUUGAAUGGCUUAGUGAGGCUUUCGGAUUGGAUCCUGGCAGCUGGCGACAGCAGCUGGGAGCUGAAAAGUUAUCCAAACUUGGUCAUUUAGAGG